rnacentral:rRNA from 1 species
AGGGUUUGAUCCUAGCUCAGGAUGAACGCUGGCGGCGUGCCUAAUGCAUGCAAGUCGAACGGUACUUUGAUUUCGGUUAGAGUGCAGUGGCGAACGGCUGAGUAACGCAAAGGUAACCUACCCCUCAGUGGGGAAUAUCUCCGAGAAAUCGGAGCCAAUACCGCAUAUCGUCCUCACACGCGAGUGUGAUGAUGAAAGCUCUCGGGCGCUGGGGGAUGGGCUUUUGUCCCAUCAGGCAGUUGGCAGGGUAACGGCCUACCAAACCGAAGACGGGUAGCUGGUCUGAGAGGAUGGUCAGCCAGAUGGGGACUGAGAUACGGCCCCAACUCCUACGGGAGGCAGCAGCAAGGGAUAUUGCGCAAUGGACGAAAGUCUGACGCAGCGACGCCGCGUGAGGGAUGAAGGCCUUCGGGUCGUAAACCUCUUUUAUUGGUGAAGAGCAAGGACGGUAACCAAUGAAUAAGCCCCGGCUAACUACGUGCCAGCAGCCGCGGUAAUACGUAGGGGGCAAGCGUUAUCCGGAUUUACUGGGCGUAAAGAGCGCGUAGGCGGCUUCUUAAGUUGGCAGUGAAAGAUUCCGGCUCAACUGGGAUAAGCCUGUCAAUACUGGGAGGCUUGAGGGCACCAGAGGAAAGUGGAACUCGCGGUGUAGCGGUGAAAUGUGUAGAUAUCGCGAGGAACACCAGUGGCGAAGGCGGCUUUCUGGGGUGUUCCUGACGCUGAGGCGCGAAAGCGUGGGGAGCGAAGCGGAUUAGAUACCCGCGUAGUCCACGCCCUAAACGGUGGAUACUUGGUAUGGGGGGUAUCGACCCCUUCCGUGCCGAAGCCAACGCUUUAAGUAUCCCGCCUGGGAACUACGGUCGCAAGACUAAAACUCAAAGGAAUUGACGGGGGCCCGCACAAGCAGCGGAGCGUGUGGUUUAAUUCGAUGCAACACGAAGAACCUUGCUACAUGGCUGUCGUCAGCUCGUGCCGUGAGGUGUUGGGUUAAGUCCCAUAACGAGCGCAACCCCUGUUCUGUGUUGAUUUCUCACAGGAGACUGCCCAGGAAUUCUGGGAGGAAGGUGGGGAUGACGUCAAGUCAGCAUGGCCUUUAUGCCUUGGGCGACACACACGCUACAAUGGGUGGUACAGAGGGCAGCUAAAGAGCGAUCUGGAGCUAAUCCCACAAAGCCACCCCCAGUUCAGAUUGCAGGCUGAAACUCGCCUGCAUGAAGUUGGAGUUGCUAGUAACCGCAGGUCAGAAUACUGCGGUGAAUACGUUCUCGGGCCUUGUACACACCGCCCGUCACGUCAUGAAAGCUGGCAACACCUGAAGUCGAUGCGCUAACUCGCAAGAGAGGCAGUCGCCGAAGGUGGGGUUAGUAAUUGGGACGAAGUCGUAACAAGGUAGCUGUACCGGAAGGUGCGGCUG